rnacentral:rRNA from 1 species
UACGGAGGGGACUAGCGUUGUUCGGAAUUACUGGGCGUAAAGCGCACGUAGGCGGAUUUGUAAGUCAGGGGUGAAAUCCCGGGGCUCAACCUCGGAACUGCCUUUGAUACUGCAAAUCUCGAGUCCGGAAGAGGUGAGUGGAAUUCCUAGUGUAGAGGUGAAAUUCGUAGAUAUUAGGAGGAACACCAAUGGCGAAGGCAGCUCGCUGGGACGGUACUGACGCUGAGGCGCGAAAGCGUGGGGAGCAAACAGG